UCGGCCCAUUACAUGUGGAAGAGCGGUGGAACAAAUAUUAACUGAAGAUUGAAACCAGAACGGCGCGAAACUGUCUCGUUUUGGACACUGUCUGUGGCAGCACGGACCAGAGACCUGCUUCUUUGGAUGAAGCUUAGUGGUGGCGUUGGAAGACAGGAGAUAUAUGCUUUGGGUUUGCGUCAUCCACUACGUCAGCAAAGAACAGGAUCGGGGAAUGACUACAUGGCCAACUGCAUCUCGUGGAAGUUGUUCUGAAGAUGCGAUGCGUGAAGGAAGGAAGUCCACAAGCAUGUGUGCUUCAGGUGUGUAAAUGUGUUGACAUACCUUGUGUGUUAUAUAAUGUGUUCAGUCAUCAUCAUAACUGUAUAAGGAUGUGUCAGACAAUAAAUUAAUUUUGUUUUCUUUUGAAAUUUCAUGCAUUUCGGCUGGCUGAAUGGGAAGAACUCUUUGACCAACCCCCAACUGAGAGAGCUGAGCGAAGUGGCUAUCAGUAAGUCUAUUUGUGGGGACAGACUUACUCUGACAGAUGACAUCUUACAAACUAUGCUGUAGAUCUCAUAAUGAUCUUGCAAUAUGUAUUCUUUUAUAACUAAAUGCAGUUUGGAGAUAUUCCCCAGCUGCUAGUGAUGAUGCAACAUGUGUAGGCAAUAACUAAGCAGCAACAGAAAGAUAAGGCACUUUGUGUGUGUGUGUGUGUGUGUGUGUGUGUGUGUGUGUGUGUGUGUGUGUUUGUGUGUGGUAGCUGGCUAGGUUAUGGUACAUGGUAACCCACAGCCCACCCCGCUGACAUUGAAAUUACUCUUUUAGAGAGAGAGAGAGAGAGAGAGAGAGAGUGAUAGAGACAGAAUAUUUCUGUAA